rnacentral:misc_RNA from 1 species
GAUGAAGAACGUAGCGAAAUGCGAUAAGUAAUGUGAAUUGCAGAAUUCAGUGAAUCAUCGAAUCUUUGAACGCACCUUGCACUCCUUGGUAUUCCGAGGAGUACGCCUGUUCGAGUGUUAUGAAGCUCUCAAAACGCAAUUGGCUUAAAACCUGAUUGUUGUUUUGGAUUUGAACUUUGCCGUGUUAUAACGGCUGGUUUUAAAAGUAUUAGCUGGUACUAGAACGAAUUGGUACUACUCAACGUGAUAAUUAUCUGAUCGUUGAGGACAUUCCUUUCACGAGGAAUGGCCAUAGUAAAUUCAAUGGACUGCUUCUAAUCUGGCUUUAAUUCUUUAUUGGAUUAACCACUUUUCAAAUCUGACCUCGAAUCAGGUGGGACUACCCGCUGAACUUAAGCAUAUCAAUAAGCGGAGGA